AAAGGCAGCUACCGCAGCGAGAAAAUAUCUCUUCUCUCUCCCUCCUCCCCUCCAGUUCUCCAUGCCGCCGCCGCCUUCUCCUCUUCCCCGUCCCUCACGGCCGCCUCGCCCCCUCCGCCUUCAGCGCCUCCUCCUCCUCCCCUUCCUCUCCUCCUUCCCUACCUCCGGAUCCAGACCACGUGAUGCGAACGAUGCAGCGCCAUGGAUUAGUCCUGCUGCAGGAGAGAGAAGAUGAGAGGGAGAGAGACAAGGAAGGAGCGGAGGGAGAAAGAGAGAGGAAAGAGUAGCCGGAGGUGCGUCGGCCGGCGUCGGCGUGCACGCUGGCGAGGUUGGGCGGGACCUGGCGGUUGGCGGCGGCUCGAUCCACUCCUAGAUCGGGAGCCGAGCCUGCGCCUCCGCCACUUCCCCUUGUUUCUCUCUCCACCGCCACCUCUCCUCACCUCUCCUUCCAAUGUCGGCCGCCGCCGGCCUCCCCAUACCUCCCCCUCAUGGCUCCUCUCUUCAUCACCGGCGCCAUGGCUGUGCUCGGAGGAGGACCGCCGAUGCCAGGUUGACGAGGAUGAUGAGGUAACUGUUGGCAAGGGCAAAGCGAAGUCGUCAGAUUCGUCACCGCCGCUAUUCUCCUACUCGCCGCCGCCGCUGUUCUCCUACUCGCCGGCGCCGCCGCUGUCAUCCACAUGCUCCUCCUCACGACCACAGGUGGAAGUUGGCUGGGGUCUAGCCUCCCAUCCAUACGCAGCUUUCCAGAUUAUGCAAGUAUAUGCUUGGUCUGCAUAUUAGUACCGGCUAGCAAGCACAGGAACGACGACUUGGACCUGGCGACUUGGAUCUAAUGACUUGGUAUUCCAAUCCACCGAGAAAUCAAUUAAUCGACUCAAAAUGAUGGUAAGGUGUCACCAAAAGUGCUUUGCCAGGUGCAUCGUUUUCGUCCCCUUCUAUUCUUCCCAUGCACCACACCAUACCAACAAAGGCAAAAUUUGUUUGUGUGAAAGCGUCUGAACCAUUGGCAUUAUUUGUUUCUCUGGUGAAUAAAUUGUGUCUGAACGCAGCAUGCCUGAACCCUGAGCAUUAUUUGUUUCUCCGCUGAGCAAAUUGUGUCUGGAUGCAGAAAGUGAAAGCAUUAGAUUGAGUGAUUCAGAUCAAUUCUUGCGUUGUACGCCUGUAAGUUUGGCGGUAAUUCCUAACUAUGACGUUGAUAUGAUCUCCCAUAUGCAUAUUUGACCAGUACUUAUUAUAUACAUAUUUAAAUAGAAAUGUUUAUGCCCUUUAUUAAUAAAAUAUGAUUAAUGGCAAAACCUAAUAAUAUUGUUUCAUCUUAUCGAUACAAUUUGUGUGUAUUGGAGGGGGGUAUAUUAGUAUAGUCAAAUUAGAAAAGCUUGACCACAUACUAAAGUAGGUAGUACACGAGCAACCCUCCCGGAUUAAUGGUGUAGAAAGAAUGAGAUCAUCGAUAACCACUUUCAUUCUGAAUUUGAGUUACCUCUAUUACAACAACACAACGAAGUUGCGUGAUUAAAUGUCAUUCAGGUGAGAGAGCUGGCAGGACGAACAAGGAAUUUUACAAAACGGUGCCCAGCGAGCUGGGCUCUCCUCCACCAAUAUGAAUGCCUAGCCUCAAACUUGCCUUAGUUUUUUUUGGAAUCGCUCUUUUUAUCUGUUGGAUCAUUCUUUUGUUUGUAAGAAAUUUCUGCAUUUUAGUGUAACCUAAAUCUGCUCAUUCCAGUAUUUGUUGAUAUCAGUAGUGGAAUGUUGCCCUCUCUCUCUCUCUCUCUCUCUCUCUCUCUCUCAUUAUUUCAGGUCAUUAGAUUCACGCAUUACAAUUAACUAUUUUUAGCGGUGUCAUGGUUAUAUUGGGAAAAGGUGAAACUUUGCUUUCCUUUGGAAGUUUAGUUACAGCAGGAGCGUGCAUUCUAUAUAUUGAAAAGUUUAAAUACCCACCACUACAAUAUCUUCAUAAGAAUCUUUUUUCUACCGUUAGCACAAAGAAGAUGCUUCUGGCCUACUACAUGAACUCGUUCUUGCCGACUUUAUCCUCUGUUUAUUUGCUCCGCGAGGUUCUUUGUUGGUUCGUGGGACUUCUGUCGUUAACCAACAAGGUUUCCGAUUUCCUUUUGUUCUACAGGCGUUGUUAUCAUUACUUCUUCUCCCUUCGCUGGCUCGUCAUCUGCUUGCUAUCAAGCAGGAUUGAUUUUCAGAUAAUAUAGGAGAGUGGAUGGUUUUAUUCUUCGGUUUUGAAUGCAAUAACAUAAGGAGAGUAGCCUAUUGUAAAUUUCGCAUACUGAUCCAGAGUCGUCAAUCCUUUUGAAGGUCUUCCUUUGCGACGUCUGGCUGCCUGAUCGGCUAAUUUUCUCACUCCCGGUUCGCCAAGUUUCUGCUGUGGUUCAGUUCAUGUGAUGCCUUGCGCCCUGUCUUUCAUCUUGCCAAGAUGACAGCAGUUAAACAAGAAGAAGCAAACACAACCGGUGAUAUCAGCGGUGGCCAAAUUACCCAUGCCGAACCACUAUGUUGCAAGCACAAUAAGCCAUUUGAGUAUAUUCAUCGCCCAGGCAAAGCAGGUUCAAUCCAAAAGUUCAAAGGCAAGAAAAUCCAACUAAAGCCUGGAAAGUACAUUCUCCGUGGUGAGCCUUGCAUCCACUACUUAGAUGAGUUUAGUCGCCACAUUGUGGGGGCAACAUAGUUAAGCUCUACAACCAUAAUGUUUCUAGACUGCGAAAGAUCAUCCGCACCACCACCACGCCCGAUCGCUACUAUGUGUGCCACAUGCCAGAGACAUUUGCAACAAAUGACAAAAGAAUGUACUUUAGUGUUCCCUUUUCUACGGGUUCUUUUUUCCCACACAUGGAUGCUGACCACGGUGAACUGUCAAUCACAACUGGAGACGGGACUACCGCUGUCACAACCCGCUUUAUCAAGGGUGUUGACAAAAGAGCCACCAUCACUAAAGGCUGGAGCAACUUCCGUCAGGCACACAUGAGCGAAGGGCAAGCAUAUGCUUUCGCCUUCAAAUGCACUUCCAAGGGACUGCGCCUAAUCGUCUACUCAAUAUAAGCAAGUUGCAAGAGCCCCUUGUUAUAUAACUUAAUGUUAGUAUAAAUGCCUACCAAGACUUUGUGUUUAUCAUCCUUUUGGAUCUUAUGCAAUCCCUUAAGACCAUCUUGCGCGUUUAA